rnacentral:rRNA from 1 species
GCGGAGGAAAAGAAACCAACAGGGAUUGCCUCAGUAACGGCGAGUGAAGCGGCAAGAGCUCAAAUUUGAAAGCUGGCCCCUUCGGGGUCCGCGUUGUAAUUUGCAGAGGAUGCUUCGGGUGCAGCCCCCGUCUAAGUGCCCUGGAACGGGCCGUCAUAGAGGGUGAGAAUCCCGUCUGGGACGGGGUGUCUGCGUCCGUGUGAAGCUCCUUCGACGAGUCGAGUUGUUUGGGAAUGCAGCUCUAAAUGGGUGGUAAAUUUCAUCUAAAGCUAAAUACUGGCCGGAGACCGAUAGCGCACAAGUAGAGUGAUCGAAAGAUGAAAAGCACUUUGAAAAGAGAGUUAAACAGCACGUGAAAUUGUUGAAAGGGAAGCGUUUGCGACCAGACUCGCCCGCGGGGUUCAGCCGGCAUUCGUGCCGGUGUACUUCCCCGUGGGCGGGCCAGCGUCGGUUUGGGCGGCCGGUCAAAGGCCCUCGGAAUGUAUCACCUCUCGGGGUGUCUUAUAGCCGAGGGUGCAAUGCGGCCUGCCUGGACCGAGGAACGCGCUUCGGCUCGGACGCUGGCGUAAUGGUCGUAAAUGACCCGUCUUGAA